rfam:Moniliophthora roreri MCA 2997 sctg_0064_0004, whole genome shotgun sequence.
GCCCGCCUAGCUCAAUCGGAUAGAGCGUCAGACUUUUAAAACAUAAAAGUUUAUAAAGGGCAUCUGAAGGCUGCGAGUUCGACCCUCGCGGUGGGCU